AUUUCUAUCACUUGUAGACCUCACUUUCUUUCCCUUUCAAACCCUUGCUUCCGUUGGUCGCGAAUUUGUGUUCUGUCGCUCUCAAAUCCCGCUUUUUGUCGUUCUCGGCUCUUGGUUUGCUCAGAAAGCACCGAAUCAGUGUUUCGUUUAUACAGAGACAAGGACAACUUGGCCACUGCACCAUUUCUCGGCACUUGAGGAAUUUGUGGUUUUGUCCGUAAAUCUUGAAAAAAAUUUGGGCUAAGCAGAGGAACCAAUUCAGGUACACUUCUGGGCAUCAUUACGGGUGUCAAUUUCUUUAGAACUCAUGGAUAAGUAGUUUUGCGAUAUCAGUUGAUGGACUCGACUAUCUAUCAUCAAUCAGACACUAGACUAUGCCUUCAAUCAAUUGAGAAAAGUCAGUUCAUUUGCAGACUGCCUGGUUAUGAGUUUACUUUUAACUAUCUGGUAAUUUGCAACCAAGUUUUCUUUUUCAACUUAUGCUCGGUUUACUAUUCUUUUGUAGCUUAUUUUUUCACAGAUUCAGUCUUCAGUAGAUGGCUGAGGAAUUUCCACAUGCAGCACUGUAUCAAAUUAUCAUUGAUCAUAAGGUAUGGCAUUGUAAGAUCAUCUUCUGUUCACUUUGAUCAAAUUUUUAUCGACUAUUUUUUUAUUUUUUAUUUUUAUAAUUAUGAUUUAUUUCUUAUUUUGCCUCAAGUUUAGUUGACUUAAGCUUUGUUUAUUAUCUCUGUAGUACGAAGAAGGCCUUAUUAGUGUAAUGAGAGAGUCCAAUAUCAACUGGACGCAAAGUAACGUUUACAAUUACUUUGGGCAGUUCUAUACUAAACUGGAGGAAAAGAUGCAUGCAAAGGAGAUGGAGAAGAAUAAUUUGCAAGCCAAGUAUGAGAUGAUAUUCCAAUAGUGUGGAAGAAAAGAGCACCAUGCCACAAAAGCCGGCUUUUCGUGGGAAGAUUCGACAGGGACAAUGUGAUUUCAACUGCGUUGGAGCAUAAGAGGAAGAGAGAUGAGGUAGACCCGAUAUGGUGGUGUUCAGUAACUCAGCUGGUUUUAUGAGUAUGACCAUGAUGGAUCAAAAGCUAGGGAUUUUGAAUUGGCAAUUGGAAUUAAAGUCUUAAUACAUGAAAAUUUUUGGGCAUUUUGCACAAGUAAUUGGAGCUACUGCAAAAUUUUAACACUGACAUGGAUGGAGUGUAUAGAAAUUUAACGGAGAAAUUUUGGGUCGUUGGAGGAAGAAUUUGGCUGCUUGACAUUUUGAGUUUUUGCAGCUGACACAACUACAUCACCUCCAAAGUUGCAGACAAGGAUUGCAAGUAAAAUGACGGUUUUGACCCUGGAUUGCCAAUAGAAGUCUCCCGACUCCUUCCUCAGAAACGAAAUCCAAAAAGGAAAAACUGUGCUCUGCAAUCCGUUCAUCAUAUCGCUGGACCUUCCACUUCCAGUGCAUCUUCAUGGCUUUUCCAUCCGUUCCCUCUUUCUCAAAUUUCCGCUUCCGCCGUUCUCAAACUCGCCUCUCUCACUCUCAAGUGUUCAGUCUCUCUCGCUCUCAAACGUUGCCGAUCCGUCGAAACCCAUAUUCCUUUCCUCAAAAUCCAAGAAAUUGGAAGAAGCAAAGAACAUGUAUGCUUUUAGCAUCACCACCUACACUGGAUUCCAAUGAACUGUAUCUGAAGAAACAUCUGAAAAAUUCAAAGCUUAUGGAAUGAUUUAAAAAAAUCAGGCCAUAAUCAGUUUGUACAGGAAUACCAGGAAAUCAGGGAUUUGGAUUAAUCUCCCUGUUAACAUGUGGCCAGUAACAUGUCCAGGGCAAGCUUUGAAUGCACCUGAUGACUUGCGUAAGAAUGUCACACGGACUUUGAAUCAGGGCUCAAUUCCCAUGAGCAUGGAUUUUCAUCCUUCACAGCAGACUCUGCUUCUUGGGUUGUAUUUUUUAAGUAGCUCCUUAUAUUUAUUUGUAUACCUUCGGCUCUACAGUUUUUCCCUAGAUGCUUGCUGCUUAUGAUUGACUGUUGAUUGUUCUCUGUAUAUGCUUCAGUUGGUACCAAUAUGGGGGACAUAGGGCUGUGGGAAGGUGGAUCUAGGAAGAUCCUCUGCAUGAUAUCAAUUUGUUGUCUGAGGAGAAUAGCUGAAUAGAUCAGAUAGUACAUGAAGAAAAUCAUUUUGGUAAGGAAGAAGAAAGAAGAGUGAAGUAAUGAGAUAUGAAGAGAACUUUGCCGCGAAGAUUAAAAUAGAGAUUGUAGUGAGCAGAGUCUAGGUAUGAAGAGUUUGAGUUACAGAAUUGUUAAUGGCUUUGUACCUUUGUAAUUUUGUAAACCAUUAAUACUAUCUUAAAAUUUAAAUUAUGAAUCCUUACAAUUGAAAUGUCAAUGAUUCGAAGCUCAUGACUGAAUUAUUACA